UACGGAAUGUGCAAACGUUAUUCGGAAUCACUGGGAUUAAAGAGUCCGUAGGCGGCCUGUUAGGUGAGGUGUGAAAUCCCCCGGCUCAACCGAGGAAUUGCGCUUCAAACCGGCAGGCUUGAGGAGGAUAGAGGUGGGCGGAACUGAUAGUGGAGCGGUGAAAUGCGUUGAUAUCAUCAGGAACACCGGAGGCGAAAGCGGUCCACUGGGUCCUUUCUGACGCUGAGGGACGAAAGCUAGGGGAGCGAACGGG
rnacentral:rRNA from 1 species